ACGAAUCGUACGAAUCCUGUAUCAGUGAUUGGAAUGAUGGGAAUUUAAACCUCUUCCAGAGUAUCAAUUGGAGGGCAAGUCUGGUGCCAGCAGCCGCGGUAAUUCCAGCUCCAAUAGCGUAUAUUAAAAUUGUUGCAGUUAAAAAGCUCGUAGUUGAAUUUCUGCUGCAUUACAUUUCUCUUGCUUAAGUUGGUUUUUGUGGCUAAUUUCGGUUGGAUUUUUUUUUCCUGACGAAUAAUUACUUAAAAAAAAAUAGAUUGAACAAAGCUUGUUUCUGCCAUGAAUUAUUAAGGAAGAAAUAAUAAAGAAUUACUUUCUUUUUUUUUGGUUGUUUGUACCAACCAAAUGGAUGAUAAAAACAAUCGGGUGGG
rnacentral:rRNA from 1 species